AUGUGUUCACACGAAGACCGGCGCACAACCAAGCGGCCUCUGGACCCGCUGGAUCCGGAGGCGGAGCGCCGCAGUGAGCAAGAUCUGCGCGAGCAGGCGCAACGCGAGCAGGCGCAACGCGAGCGGCCGCUGGCUCGCAAGGGGGAUUUGGAUCCUCCUCCGCCGUCGUGGAACAAGCAACAGGAUAGAAAGAAGGAGGAGCGAAGGCAUCGGACUCAAGAUCUGCAGCGCAAGGAUAAGCAGCACCAGUUUUGCAGCAACCGGGUUGGAGAUCCUUUCGCCAAGAAACCAAAGCAUAAGCCGUCCGGGUCGCUGGCUCUGCCAGCCCAGGCGCCGCUGGCGCUGUCUUCCUCCUUGCAAGGCAUGGCCUUGGCGCCCAUCCUGGUCGAGGAAGCGGACCGGCCAGAGUGCUUCAAGUGCGGCCGCAUUGGGCACUUCCGGUCGCAACACCAGUUCAAGCCGCUCUGUGUGUUGUGCAAGGAAGAUGGGCAUGCUUCUGCUUACUACCCCUCCCGUGGCAAAUCACUGAUGCUUCAAACUAUGGGCCAUGCAAUCCCAGGGGAGGGCUUUUUCUGCUUGCAGUUCGAGGAAGAAGAUGAUGAAGACAGUGGGGUGCUUGGGGGCAAUGCGGCCAUCAUUUCGGCAGAUCCAGGCACCCUCUCUCAGCAGAUUCUGGAAGAUGAGCUCAGGAACCUUGUCGAGGGGGCUUGGGACUGGCAGGUUGUGCAAAUCUCAGAGGCGGAGUUCACGGUAGUCUUCCCAUCCCUGGACAUGUUAUGGAUGGCCACCCGCAGUGGGAAGUUGUUCCUUCCCCACAACAAUAUCACAACAAGGAUCCACGAGUUGGUUUGGGAGGAGCCCAAGGGGGAAGUGAUGCCGGAGGUGUGGGUGAGGCUCUCGGGCGUGCCCAAGAAGCACCGCCGCGAGGACAGGCUGAUGGCUGCCAUGUCUAUGAUUGGCCGCCCUCUGGUGGUGGACGAGCUCUCGCUCAUUCGUCCGGGGCCAGUGAGGAUGAAGAUCGCGUGUUGUGCUCCAGCCAAGCUGCGGGGCAUGGUCAAGAUCUGGUUCAACAACAUUGGAUACAACAUCACGUUGGAGCCGGAGCUCAAGCCCAUGCAUAAGAGUGGAGGCCCGCCUCCUCCUAAUCAGAACAAUGGCAAGGGUCCUGAUGGCGAUGACAAAGACAAGGAAGAGAGCAUGGACGACGAAUCCAUCGACACUGAAGCUUGGGACAAGUUGGGCGACAAGGGACAGGAUGGCGGUGCUUCUAAUGGGGCCAGUGCCAUGGCGGUGAAUUCGGUGCCUCCCCCAGCCCCAUCCUCGCACCCACAGGCCACGGCUAAGGGCGGGCCAGGCAGUGCUCGCGCCUCUAACUUGCUAUCGCCGCUUGUUCCUUCGGUGCCGGUGGUGCCAGAGGCUGAUCCUAAGGGCAUCCCAGUGUCGUGCGAGGGCUCUGGUCUCGCGGUGCAGUUCUCCCCGCUGUCCGUGAGCGUGGGUGGUAGCUCUCCCUCCAAUGUGCUCGACAAGACACUGCCGCUCACACCGGCACCUACCACUGUCAACCUGCCUCCUGAAGAUCGUGCAGACAUUGGCUGGGCUAGCCAUGCGUCGUGGGAAUUCAGCAAGAGGAACUCUGGCGGCCAAGCUAAUAAGAAGACAGGCCGCAAGAAGGCGUCCAGGGCGGUGCCAGUUCUGGAGGGUACGAGCGCGCCUGAAACUCCCCGUCCGGUGGUGAUGGCUCUCGCCUCGCCUCAUCCUGCCUCUGGGACUGGGGGAGGGGAGCGCUCCACCCCUCCCUCCGGUGACCCGCUGCGCGACAAGGUGGCGGUGGUGGCACUUAUCUCCAAGGCCAAGCGUUCCAAGGCGGCUACAAUAGGUCCCCGUCGUUCCAGCGUGAGGCCAAAGGGCGAUCUCUCCUCUCUCGAAAGCGCAGAGCUGCUGAUAGCAAAGAAGAACCUCGAGCUCACAGGAGCUGGCGCAAGCUGCCUUAGCGCGGAGGCAGCUGCGGCUAAGACUGCGACGGCUGGCAUGCAAGUAGGGGCUUCCGUUCCCAAUUCAAUGGUGCCCACUGCCCAUGGAAUUAGGGGUGGUGGCUAG
rnacentral:rRNA from 1 species